UACGUAGGGGGCUAGCGUUGUCCGGAUUUAUUGGGCGUAAAGAGCGUGUAGGCGGCCAGGUAGGUCUGCUGUGAAAACUCGAGGCUCAACCUCGAGACGUCGGCGGAAACCAUCUGGCUAGAGUCCGGAAGAGGAGAGUGGAAUUCCUGGUGUAGCGGUGAAAUUCGUAGAUAUUCGGAGGAACACCAGUGGCGAAGGCGGCUCACUGGUCCGGUACUGACGCUGAGGUGCGAAAGCGUGGGGAGCAAACAGG
rnacentral:rRNA from 1 species